CACUCCCCCAACAAAAGAAAGAAAGUGUGUUUUCUGUGAGGAAAAAUCACGCGUUUUGGGCAGGCUGUCCGACCUCUCGCUUCUUAAUGCAGCCUCAGAGCAGCCUCGGGUCCCACAGCAGCCCCUGAGGCAGGGCGGAGGGGCUCCGGGGGCCUCCGGCUUCCCCCUGUGCACUCUGAGCCCCUGCUCUAACGAAACUUAUCUAAACCAUCUAACAAUAAUGUAAAUGGGUUUAAUUGCCGCGUAUUUAAGCCAUGAAGCCGGACUGAAAAAUCUGUUAAACUUGGCCUGUUCCCAAGCCAUUGACACCAUCCAGCUUCCCCGCGCCAUGGGGGGGAAUAGGGGGAAGGGGGUGCCCAGAUACGUUUUGAUACAGGAGUUUUCAAUGUAUCAGGAUUUCUUGUUCCUGUAAGUAGGACCAGUGCCCUCAAGGCGUUUCUAUGUAAACUGCCAUCUGCAAAGGGCUGUUUCUUACCUGAUGCUACUUGAAGAAAACUGCCAUUAAAUCUUUCUGGAAGCAACAUCUGUCUCUCUGGCAUAAUGCAGUUGCCCUCCACAGCCUUCUGUAUGAGCAAGUUCCAGAAGUUCAAUAGGUGCAGUUGGAUGCGUGUUGUACUAGAGUGCAGGAGGGGGGAUCAUCUGUGCCAUAUCUUUCUGCUUUCCAAUACAAAAUGCCGCAGUCUUGACUCACACAGAAAAAAAGUAUUGGGAUAUAUGUGGACCAGAACCUGAAUAAAUAUUGACAAGCCAUCUCAAAAAGCUACACUAACUGUGAGUAACUAACUGUUCUCUUUAGUCAUUAUAUGCUAACUUUGGACAUAUACGUCUAUAAUGAUACCUGGUUUCAUAUGUCGUAGUUGUCGAAGUACGUUAUUACUAUGAGAAAGAUGUAGUAUUCCAAUAAAGCAACCUUGUGCUGUCAUAUCAAGGCAGUAUCUACAUAUUCAUUGCAGAUGGCAUAUUACAGAAAUAAUCUUUUUCAUAUUUAUUCUUUAUCAAAUAUUGAACUGUUGCUGUUCAAGCAAAGUUCAGAUCCAUACAUCUCAUGAAGUGAAGGAAACUGUUAGCUAGAACAUAGUUGCCCUUAACACAGUUUCACUUUAGCAGUUUUUCAUAUUGAUGGAUUUACUGUUUUGUGGUUAAAGAAUUUUUCAUGCUGGAAUAUUUCUAAACCCAUUUUCUGAUAGAGAUCAGAAAAAUGGAAGUUUCUUGUACAUCGCUACUUUGGACAGCUCUGUAUGGAGAAAAAUAAAGGUAGUAGGUAUAAAUUAAAAGGGGGUGAAAUAAUCUGAGCUGCAAAAAGAAGAGAGCAAGUUUAUUUUAUUUCCUUGGUUAUGUAGGAGUCUUGUUAACCAGUAUGUAAUGCAUAGUCGUGUAAUAAAACAUGCUAGACAUUAAAAGGCAAAAACCCAGUUCACAGAUGUUGUAACGUUAUGAGAUAAUUUUAGGGAGUGAAUGGGGUGAAAAGGCUGGAUUUGUUAGAGAGGAAAAUACCUAUGGAGGCCUUUUCUGUGAGCAAUACCAUGACUUCAUUACCAUGUCAAUUCUGGGAAAAGGCUCUGAUUUAACACAGCAGUUGGCUGGAUCCAUAUGGAGCUGAUGAACCUCUGAAUGAAUAGUGAAUGGAAAAACUGCUGGAAUCUGCCUUCAGCUUUGUUCCCAGGAUGACCAAUGUAAAAGGCCUAAGAGCAAUACUGCACAGAUGGUGUAAAAGAGGUAAGAAAUCUGCAGGGUUUAGUUUACUUUUUCUUAUCCUGCACUGUUUGGGUUUUAUUUUUUUAACUAUAUUUGAGUUCCUCCAACUCCAUUUGCUUCAAAGCCUUUACUCACAAAAAAAUGUAAAAAAAAAAGGGAAGCUUUGGGAAAUGAAAUUAAUUCAAAAAACAUAUGUAGCAGUAAGCAUUUACAUAAAAAUACAAUUUAAAAUGUUGAAUUUUGUACGGUAUAGAAGUAAUUGAAAGCAUAAUUAUGAAAUCCUGAAAAAAAAAAAAAGCUAGUUAAAAGUUUAACAAAGAACUUUGGAAUUGCUUCUUCAAUUCACCCUAUGUUGUGGGAAUAUGCAGAUGUUCACAUUUACACAGUCAUGUAUGUCCACUAGGGUUACAUGCUUUUAUAGUCUGAAGCAUCAUCACAAGUGCCAAUACAGUAAAUCAAAAGACUCUCUGGCAUUAUCUAGUUUCCUUUCUGGCUUUAAAAGUUAGAACAGAUGUCACAAGAGAGGACAAAAUGGAUUUUACCCACCGAGAGGAGCUUUUCUUGCCAUCAUUAAUAGGAGGCUCCUUGAAAUGCUAAUGUACACAGUUUGUGUUGCCGGGUUUGCAUAGAGAUGGUGGGAAACAGCUCUGAUCCCAACAAAACCUUUUGUUAUUAAUCAAGAAAAUCUGCUCUUCUGAAACAGCAAAGCACUGAAAUGGUGUGGCUACUUGCAAUGCAGAGAUCUCUAUAGCAAUCUCCAAUGAACAAAAAUGUAAUAAAAACUGUUCAGCAGUUCUACGAGAUACGGCACAUGUAGCAAUUUAUUUGCAGUGAUUUUGCAUACACCUCCUUUGUCAUUUCAGCAUGGGUAUUUACAGUGGAAAGACUACACCGUUUCUCUAUUUUUUCUGAAUCUCCACUCUUUAAAUUCAUGUUUCAUUUCAUAGCAAAUCUAAAAAGCAAGCUUGAAGCAGAAAGAACUUUGAAAAGCAAGCUUCUCUUCUUGAAAACAAUUAUCACGGAGCAUGAGUUUCUGUUUGAUUUGAUGUUAAUACCAUGUAAGAUAUUUUUGCUUCGUUAGAGUAUAGGAUUAUGAGAUCUUGUGAGCCCUUUGUGAGUACAAACAUACUCUGCAAUAUUAGACCUGGUAUGCUCCUCCUGUUGUAAAGGGGACUUAAUUUUCAGUAGUCUUUAAUAGAAGAGGUUCAGACCCUGAUGUUGUUUUGAGACAUAUGACCUUUAUUUUUAAGAAAUACCAGUGCAAUUAAAUCACAAAGUACUAACUGCUGUCAGGCAUUCAUUGCCUUGUAUAGGAUGCCUCAGCAGAAGCCUUCUUUCCGAAAAGUUAUCUGGAGUAUCAAUUAAAGCCAAAAAUUCAAGGAAAGCCUGAAUUAAAAUGUAAAUUCUUUGCUUGCUAUUACUCAUCACUGAAAUCUCUGGCCCAGCCUCUGAUCAGAGUUACAUUAAAUUCCCUAUCAAUUUAUUGUACAGCAGUUCCACAACACAUUAAUGUGUCUUUUCACAGAUUCAUUGUGCUGAGACUUCAAUAUAUGGGCACAAGAGAAUGAAUUAGGGAUGAAGCAUUAGCUCAGAGUUUAAGCCUCUUUUAAUUUCCUUGCCUCUAUGGAUGUAAAGCAGAUACUUAACAGUUUGCAUUGCCAUAGAUUAUUGCACUUUAAUUUGUAUUUUGUUUCUUUUUAAUGAUGA